GACGGAGGGUGCUAGCGUUGUUCGGAAUUACUGGGCGUAAAGGGCUCGUAGGCGGCCAACUAAGUCGGAUGUGAAAUCCCCAGGCUCAACCUGGGAACUGCAUCCGAUACUGGAUGGCUUGAAUUCGGGAGAGGGAUGCAGAAUUCCAGGUGUAGCGGUGAAAUGCGUAGAUAUCUGGAGGAAUACCGGUGGCGAAGGCGGCAUCCUGGACCGACAUUGACGCUGAGGAGCGAAAGCCAGGGGAGCAAACGGG
rnacentral:rRNA from 1 species